rnacentral:SRP_RNA from 1 species
GUCGGGCAUGGUGGUGCGUGCCUGUAGUCCCAGCUACUCAGAAGGCUGAGGCAGGAGAAUCGCUUGAACCUGGGAGGCAGAGGUUGCAGUGAGCCGAGAUCGCGCCAUUGCACUCCAGCCUGGGCAAAAGGAGUGAGACUCCAUCUCAAAACAAAACAAAAAUAAAUAAAUAAACAAACUUUUUUUUUUGAGACGGAAUUUCACACUUGCUUUCCAGGCUGGAGUACAAUGGUGCAAUUUCAGCUCACUGCAACCUCUGCCUCCCAGGUUCAAGAGAUUCUCCUGUCUCAG